GGAAUUCCGGGUGUAGCGGUGAAAUGUGUAGAGAUCCGGAGGAACACCAGUGGUGCAGACGGCGUCCUGGGUCUGAACUGACGCUGAGGCGCGAAAGCGUAGGGAGCGAACGGGAUUAGAGACCCCGGUAGUCUACGCUGUAAACGAUGUCGACUAGAUGUCCACUUAGCUACGGCUAAGGGGGUGUCGAAGCCAACGCGGUAAGUCGACCGCCUGGGGAGUACGGUCGCAAGGCUAAAACUCAAAGGAAUUGACGGGGGCCCGCACAAGCAGCGGAGCGUGUGGUUUAAUUCGAGGCUACACGAAGAACCUUACC
rnacentral:rRNA from 1 species